GAUGAACGCUGGCGGCGUGCCUAAUACAUGCAAGUCGAGCGAACGGACGAGAAGCUUGCUUCUUUGCUGUUAGCCGCGGACGGGUGUGUAACGCGUGGAUACCCUCCCUAAAAGACUGGGAUAACUUCGGGAAACCGUAGCUUAUCCGCGAUAAUCUUCUGAACCGCAUUGUUCAUAAGUGAAUGACGGUCUUGCUGUCUCUUAUAGAUGCAUCCGCGCUGCUUUAGCUAGUUGGUAAGGUAACGGGUUACCAAGGCAACGAUGCAUAGCCGACCUGAGAGGGUGAUAGGCGACAGGGGAAGUGAGACAAGGUCCAGACUCCUACGGGAGGGAGCAGUCGGGUACGUUCCGCAGUGGUCGAGAGCAUGACGCAGCAACCGCGCGUGAGUGAUGGCGGUCUUGGGUGCGUAAAGAUCUGUUAUUAGGGGAAAACAUAUGUGGAAGUAACUGUACCGAUCGUGACGGUAACGGAUCAGAAAGCAACGGCUAACUACGUG
rnacentral:rRNA from 1 species